AGCAGCCGCCGCGGGAACACGUAGGGUGCGAGCGUUAAUCGGAAUUAUUGGGCGUAAAGGGCUCGCAGGCGGUCUCUUAAGUCUGAUGUGAAAGCCCCCGGCUCAACCGGGGAGGGUCAUUGGAAACUGGGAAACUUGAGUGCAGAAGAGGAGAGUGGAAUUCCACGUGUAGCGGUGAAAUGCGUAGAGAUGUGGAGGAACACCAGUGGCGAAGGCGACUCUCUGGUCUGUAACUGACGCUGAGGAGCGAAAGCGUGGGGAGCGAACAGGAUUAGAGACCCGUGUAGUCCCUGUCUCUUAUAA
rnacentral:rRNA from 1 species